UCAUAUGCACAGAGCAGCCAGAGAGGCUGAGGAGCAACCGCACAAGCUGUUGCCUCUUCAUGAAGCACCCACCAGGAGAAAUAAUCAGUUUAUGAGAGUGCGGGGAGCCGGCCUGACUGCUCAGGCCCCUUCUCGGCCCUGAGAGAGAUCUAAGAGGUCCCUCUCUAUCCCGCCACCCCUGAUUUAUUAAAGUGCAAAUUGGCCUUUUUCACCUCCCUCAAGGAAAUCGCUGUAGCCACCAUUUGCCCAUUUUCCUGACUCUGAUAAGAUUAUCGGGCUCCUGUGAAUGGCUUAUGUCUAGGUAGUCUUUACCUGAUUGUAAGACGCUGGUGCCAUGCUCUGCUGGAGUUAAGAUAAAACUCCUGAGCUAAAACUAGUGUCUGCAGUUCUGCACGUAUGCAAGUCUUUGAUCUAAAAUUUGGUGAAUCCUGUUAGCAUAUAUAUGUAUGUUACCCCUCAAUAAAGUCGUCGGAAUCAGUCACAAGCUGACUCCGUCCCUCUCAACCCCAUCUUUCCUAGUCUUUUAUUUCUCAGGUACUCUGGUGAUUGCGUCCUUGACCUGUUCCUUUCGCCGGCAGGCCCGGCAAGUGGCGCCAGAACGAGGGACGUGGGCGGACCCCAGCGCACAGCCACCCAAAAAUAUUGAAAGUGAUCCCGGGAGAAAACCUCACCUAUUCAGGAUGCUGAAGCACCGCGCUGGCUCCCGGAAAGGCUGGUACACCAGAUGGAGGAGAUCACUGAAUCAGCAAUUAGGUCGCCUGACUUUACAGCAGAGGAAUCUUCU
rnacentral:lncRNA from 1 species